UGCGAAGGUAGCAUAAUCAUUAGUCUUUUAAUUGGAGACUGGAAUGAAAGGUCGGACAAAAAGCAAUCUGUCUCAACUUUAAUUUUUGAACUUAACUUUUAAGUGAAAAGGCUUAAAUAAUCUUGAAGGACGACAAGACCCUAUAAAACUUUAUACACAAGAUUAUAAAUUCGGCUCUAUUUGUUUAUAAAUUAUUUAACAUCUUGUGUAUUUCGUUGGGGCGACGAAAGUAUAAAUCUAACUGCUUUUAUUUUAAACAAUUAUUUUUGAAGUUAACGACCCUUCAUUAAAGAUUUCAAGAAAAAGUUACUUUAGGGAUAACAGCGUUAUUUUUUUUGAGAGUUCAUAUCGACAAAAAAGUUUGCGACCUCGAUGUUGAAUUAAAUUUUCCUUAUAGUGCAGGAAUUAUAC
rnacentral:rRNA from 1 species